GGCAAGAUGGUCGAGUUGGUCUAAGACGUGGGAUUCAAGAACGCAAGUUCUUACCUCCCCGGAGGCAUGAAAUUCCCCAUCUCGUAAGAGGCAGGGGUUCGAAUCCCCUUCUUGUCA
rnacentral:tRNA from 1 species